rnacentral:rRNA from 1 species
GACGUAGGGCGCGAGCGUUGUCCGGAUUUAUUGGGCGUAAAGAGCUCGUAGGCGGCUUGUCGCGUCGUUCGUGAAAAACCCUGCAGCUCAACUGCGGGCUUGCGGUCGAUACGGGCAGGGCUGGAGUUCGGUAGGGGGAGACUGGAAUUCCUGGUGUAGCGGUGAAAUGCGCAGAUAUCAGGAGGAACACCCGGUGGCGAAAGGCGGGGUCUCUGGGCCGAUACUGACGCUGAGGAGCGAAAAGCGUGGGGGAGCGAACAGG